rnacentral:tRNA from 1 species
GGCCUGGUAGCUCAGUUGGCUAGAGCGUUGGCUGCACUAAAGCCUUCCCUUUGCUGGCGUGGGUUCGAAACUCACCAUGGCUG